rnacentral:rRNA from 1 species
AACAACGGGUGGAGCCUGCGGUUUAAUUGGACUCAACGCCGGACAACUCACCGGGGACGACAGCAAUAUGUAGGUCAGGCUGAAGACCUUACCUGAAUCGCUGAGAGGAGGUGCAUGGCCGUCGCCAGUUCGUACUGUGAAGCAUCCUGUUAAGUCAGGCAACGAGCGAGACCCGUGCCCACUGUUACCAGCAUAUCCUCCGGGAUGAUGGGUACUCUGUGGGGACCGCCGGUGUUAAAUCGGAGGAAGGUGCGGGCCACGGUAGGUCARUAUGCCCCGAAUUUCCCGGGCUACACGCGGGCUACAAUGAAUGGGACAAUGGGUCCCUCCCCUGAAAAGGGCUGGUAAUCUCACAAACCCAUCCUUAGUUCGGAUCGAGGGCUGUAACUCGCCCUCGUGAAGCUGGAAUCCGUAGUAAUCGCGUUUCAAUAUAGCGCGGUGAAUACGUCCCU